rnacentral:rRNA from 2 species
CGAACGCUGGCGGCAGGCUUAACACAUGCAAGUCGAGCGCCCCGCAAGGGGAGCGGCAGACGGGUGAGUAACGCGUGGGAAUCUACCCAUCUCUACGGAAUAACGCAUGGAAACGUGUGCUAAUACCGUAUACGUCCUUCGGGAGAAAGAUUUAUCGGAGAUGGAUGAGCCCGCGUUGGAUUAGCUAGUUGGUGGGGUAAAGGCCUACCAAGGCGACGAUCCAUAGCUGGUCUGAGAGGAUGAUCAGCCACACUGGGACUGAGACACGGCCCAGACUCCUACGGGAGGCAGCAGUGGGGAAUAUUGGACAAUGGGCGCAAGCCUGAUCCAGCCAUGCCGCGUGAGUGAUGAAGGCCCUAGGGUUGUAAAGCUCUUUCACCGGUGAAGAUAAUGACGGUAACCGGA